AAAGCAAAGCUAAAGGUUAGUAUCUCACUUACGUUGAGAAGGUUGUCGCAAAAGCGACUUGUUUUGAU
rnacentral:tRNA from 1 species